AGUGAACGCUGGCGGUAGGCCUAACACAUGCAAGUCGAACGGCAGCACAGUAAGAGCUUGCUCUUACGGGUGGCGAGUGGCGGACGGGUGAGGAAUACAUCGGAAUCUACUUUUUCGUGGGGGCUAACGUAGGGAAACUUACGCUAAUACCGCAUACGACCUCCGGGUGAAAGCCGGGGAUCUUCGGACCUUGCGCGAUUGAAUGAGCCGAUGUCGGAUUAGCUAGUUGGCGGGGUAAAGGCCCACCAAGGCGACGAGCCGCAGCUGGUCUGAGAGGAUGAUCAGCCACACCGGAACCGAGACACGGUCCAGACUCCUACGGGAGGCAGCAGUGGGGAAUAGUGGACAAUGGGCGCAAGCCUGAUCCAGCCAUACCGCGUGGGUGAAGAAGGCCUUCGGGUUGUAAAGCCCUUUUGUUGGGAAAGAAAAGCAGCAGGUUAAGACCCCGCUGUUCUGACGGUACCCAAAGAAUAAGCACCGGCUAACUUCGUG
rnacentral:rRNA from 1 species